rnacentral:rRNA from 1 species
UGCAGUCGACGGUAUAUUGCUUUCGGGCAAUAGAGAGUGGCGCACGGGUGCGUAACGCGUAUGCAACCUACCCAAUACAGGGGGAUAGCCCGGAGAAAUCUGGAUUAAUAUCCCAUAGUAUCAUUUAGCUGCAUGGUUUGAAUGAUUAAAGAUUCAUCGGUAUUGGAUGGGCAUGCGUCUGAUUAGCUAGUUGGCGGUGUAACGGACCACCAAGGCGACGAUCAGUAGGGGUUCUGAGAGGAAGGUCCCCCACACUGGCACUGAGAUACGGGCCAGACUCCUACGGGAGGCAGCAGUAGGGAAUAUUGGGCAAUGGACGAGAGUCUGACCCAGCCAUGCCGCGUGCAGGAAGACGGCGUUCUGCGUUGUAAACUGCUUUUAUCUGGGAAGAAAAGGCCCCUGCGGGGGACAUUGCCGGUACCAGAUGAAUAAGCACCGGCUAACUCCGUGCCAGCAGCCGCGGUAAUACGGAGGGUGCAAGCGUUGUCCGGAUUUAUUGGGUUUAAAGGGUGCGUAGGCGGCUUAUUAAGUCAGUGGUGAAAGACUCCGGCUCAACCGGGGCAGUGCCAUUGAUACUGGUUAGCUUGAGUGUUGGAGGGGUACAUGGAAUUGAUGGUGUAGCGGUGAAAUGCAUAGAUACCAUCAGGAACACCGAUAGCGAAGGCAUUGUACUGGCCAACAACUGACGCUGAUGCAC